rnacentral:rRNA from 1 species
AAUUUUGGACAAUGGGGGAAACCCUGAUCCAGCAAUCCCGCGUGUAUGAUGAAGGCCUUCGGGUUGUAAAGUACUUUUGGCAGAGAAGAAAAGGUACCUCCUAAUACGAGGUACUGCUGACGGUAUCUGCAGAAUAUGCACUGGCUAACUACGUGCCAGCAGCCGCGGUAAUACGUAGGUAGCAAGCGUUAAUCGGAAUUACUGGGCGUAAAGCGUGUGUAGGCGGUUCGGAAAGAAAGAUGUGAAAUCCCAGGGCUCAACCUUGGAACUGCAUUUUUAACUGCCGAACUAGAGGAUGUCAGAGGGAGGUAGAAUUCCACGUGUAGCAGUGAAAUGCGUAGAUAUGUGGAGGAAUACCGAUGGCGAAGGCAGCCCCCUGGGAUAAUACUGACGCUCAGACACGAAAGCGUGGGGAGCAAAC